UACGUAGGGUGCAAGCGUUAAUCGGAAUUACUGGGCGUAAAGUGUGCGCAGGCGGCAGAGCAAGUCGAGUGUGAAAGCCCCGAGCUUAACUUGGGAAUUGCGCUCGAAACUACUUUGCUGGAGUGUGGCAGAGGAAGGUGGAAUUCCAGGUGUAGCGGUGAAAUGCGUAGAGAUCUGGAGGAACACCGAUGGCGAAGGCAGCCCCCUGGGUCAAGAUUGACGCUCAUGCACGAAAGCGUGGGGAGCAAACAGG
rnacentral:rRNA from 1 species